rnacentral:misc_RNA from 1 species
GAUGAAGAACGUAGCGAAAUGCGAUAAGUAAUGCGAAUUGCAGAAUCCGUGAGUCAUCGAAUCUUUGAACGCACAUUGCGCCCCUUGGUUAUUCCGAAGGGCAUGCCUGUUCGAGCGUCAUUAUCACCCCUCAAGCCCUGGCUUGGUGUUGGACUUUAGUUAUAGCUUUGCCUAUCAACUGGUCUCAAAGAUAGUGACGGCGCCCCAGAGGGAACCGGGUACGAGGAGCUUUUUACUAAGCAUGUAUCUGGGACGACUCUGGGCGACGGUCUUGUUAUACUUUUUACCUAAGUGUUGACCUCGGAUCAGGUAGGAAUACCCGCUGAACUUAAGCAUAUCAAUAGCGGAGGA